rnacentral:siRNA from 1 species
UGGCGACAACGAUUUGAGGCAGCA